CAGCAGCCGCGGUAAUACGGAGGGUGCGAGCGUUGUCCGGAAUCAUUGGGUGUAAAGGGUGCGUAGGCGGGUUCUUAAGUCUGGGGUGAAAGUCUGCGGCUCAACCGUAGGAUUGCCUUGGAUACUGGGAGUCUUGAGGGUGACAGAGGCCGGUAGAAUUCGUGGUGUAGCGGUGAAAUGCAUAGAUAUCACGAAGAAUACCAGUGGCGUAGGCGGCCGGCUGGGUCACGACUGACGCUGAGGCACGAGAGCGUGGGGAGCAAACAGGAUUAGAUACCCUGGUAGUCCACGCCGUAAACGUUGUAUGCUAGGUGUCGGGCCGCUUUCGGGCGGUUCGGUGCUGCAGCUCACGCAUUAAGCAUACCACCUGGGGAGUACGCCGGCWACGGUGAAACUCAAAGGA
rnacentral:rRNA from 1 species